UAACGAAUCUUCCGCAAUGGGCGCAAGCCUGACGGAGCAAUGCCGCGUGUGGGAUGAAGCGUCUCUGACGUGUAAACCACUGUCAGGGGUUAGAAACAAUGAUCAACCCCAAAGGAAGUGGCGACUAACUCUGUGCCAGCAGUCGCGGUAAUACAGAGGCCACAAGCGUUAGUCGGAAUCACUGGGCUUAAAGGGUGCGUAGGCUGGUCCGCAAGCGUCUUGUGAAAGCCCUCGGCUCAACCGAGGAACAGCAGGGCGAACUGCGGAUCUUGAGGCAGGUAGGGGUCGCGAGAACAGUAGGUGGAGCGGUGAAAUGCGUAGAUAUCUACUGGAAUGCCGAUGGCGAAGGCGGCUUCCUGGACUCAUACUGACGCUGAGGCACGAAAGCAUGGGGAGCAAACAGGAUUAGAUACCCACGUAGUCCCUGAGCGGGCUGGCAAGGCGCAU
rnacentral:rRNA from 1 species